rnacentral:rRNA from 1 species
UACGUAGGGCGCAAGCGUUAUCCGGAAUUAUUGGGCGUAAAGAGCUCGUAGGCGGUUUGUCGCGUCUGCCGUGAAAGUCCGGGGCUCAACUCCGGAUCUGCGGUGGGUACGGGCAGACUAGAGUGAUGUAGGGGAGACUGGAAUUCCUGGUGUAGCGGUGAAAUGCGCAGAUAUCAGGAGGAACACCGGUGGCGAAGGCGGGACUCUGGGCCUACCCUGACGCUGAGGCGCGAAGGCGUGGGGAGCAAACGGG